GGAGCGGUGGCAGAAUGGCUAUUGCACUCGCCUCGAAAGCGAGCGUCCGCGAGGACUUGGGGGUUCGAAUCCCUCCCGCUCCG
rnacentral:tRNA from 1 species